rnacentral:rRNA from 1 species
AAAGAUUAAGCCAUGCAUGUCUAAGUAUAAACGAUUUAAUCGUGAAACCGCGAAUGGCUCAUUAUAACAGCUAUAAUUUACUUGAUCUUGACACAAUCCUACUUGGAUAACUGUGGUAAUUCUAGAGCUAAUACAUGCAUUAAAGCUCUGACCUCACGGGAAGAGUGCAUUUAUUAGAACAAAACCAAGCGGCUUCGGCUGUUUCUGGUUGACUCAUAGUAACUGAGCUGAUCGCAUGGUCUUGCACCGGCGACGUGUCUUUCAAGUAUCUGCCGUAUCAACUUUCGAUGGUAGUGUAUCUGACUACCAUGGUGAUCACGCGUAACGGAGAAUAAGGGUUCGGCUCCGGAGAGUUCGCCUGAGAAAUCGCGAACACAUCUAAGGAAGGCAGCAGGCGCGAAAAUUACCCACUCUCAGCACGAGGAGGUAGUGACGAAAAAUAACGAGACCGUUCUCUUAUGAGGCCGGUCAUCGGAAUGGGUACAAUUUAAACCCUUUAACGAGUAUCUAUGAGAGGGCAAGUCUGGUGCCAGCAGCCGCGGUAAUUCCAGCUCUCAAAGUGCAUAGAAUUAUUGCUGCGGUUAAAAAGCUCGUGGUUGGAUCUGUGCCAUAGGACGUGGUCCACCUUCGGGUGCGUACUACGCUCCUAGGCUUUUUGCUGGUUUUCCCGUCGUAGCCUUCACUGGUUGCGGCGGGUGGCUGGCGAGUUUACUUUGAGAAAAUCAGAGUGCUCAAUACAGGCGUAUCGCUUGAAUGAUUGUGCAUGGAAUAAUAGAAAAGGAUUUCGGUCCUCUUUUAUUGGUUUUGUGGACUGAGAUAGUGGUUAACAGGGACAAACGGGGGCAUUCGUAUCUCUGCGUGAGAGGUGAAAUUCUUGGACCGUAGAGAGACGCCCUACUGCGAAAGCAUUUGCCAAGAAUG